GUAUUGUUAGAAUUUUGACCAGUUAGAAUACCGGCUCCCACCUCUCCCCACACCUGUCCACCCUGUGUGUGACAGUCUGUUAAUCCUUCCGAAAGCCAUGCAGUUUAGAUUCCCCUGUGCUCGGAAAUACUUAAUGGCCUCCGCGGUGGCUCCGUAGAAAAAGCCCAAACGUUGAAAUUUUGCUGUAAGGUCCUUUAGGAUCGGGCCCUAAGUUCCUUAUUCAACUUUAUCUGUCUCUUUACAACCACUAGGAACCUUCGAUCUUGGUUACAUUCGUUGAUCGUUUGUAGCUCGCUGCAAGGAUCACAUUGCAAACCUCCAAGUCGGUGGAAAUCAUUAUUUUUAUAAUGUGAGACCACAGAGAACGAGGUUAAGGAUAAACACCAAUGGACGUAUGGAAGUAACAAACCUAUUUCAAGAUUUAAUGGCUGUUUCUAACUCCACACAUACCAGCACAAUCUUCCUGAGUAACUCCUUGGUCGCAAAAGAGGGAUGUGACCCAAUCCAUCUUACCUGGAAGCCAAAGUUCACACCAUGUAGGAACUUCUGUUUCAGGUUCUACUGCAGACAUGAUCUUUUCUGCCUUUCUCUUCAAUUUUAAAGAUUGACCUGGCUUCAGAGACCUGCUGCCCUGAUGUGCUGUCUACAACGGCGUAAGAACAGUCUGCAAAUUUGAGUCAUCACCGAUUUUUGCUUUGUGGCCCUUCCUUCCUUCCUUCUUUCCUUCCUUCCUUCCCUCCUUAUGCAGCUUUGCAAUCAGUUAAACCAUCUAUGAAAUUGCAAUGACCUAAUGCAUCAUUUAGGCAUAAACACAUUUUGGCUCAGAAAUUAUUUCUCAAAACCUCUUUUUUGAGUUGUCACUUCAGCACAUAUUCCUGUCAAGCACUGACCUCUUACUGAUUCUUAAUUUCUUUUGAGGCAGCCAGAGAUAGUAGUUACCUCUUCACCAAAGGAGAAACCAUAGGGGAAAAUGACCCGGUGAAGACUGCUGGUUUUCCAUUCUUCGGUUCAAUCACUUCGGUUCAUCGGGGAAAUAAAACUGUCAGCACAACAUCUCUGGGCA
rnacentral:lncRNA from 12 species